GUUAGAAAGAGGUAGAGAACUUUUUCAGAAAAUUUCUUUUGGAGUUUUUCAAAUGUUUCUAAUUUUAGGGAUUAAUUUCUUGAAACUUUGGAUCCCUGCCCCUAUCCCCUUGCACUCCCCUGCAAUGCUGCUUCUCUGCCUUCUUGUAGGUCCCCACAUCUCUCUUUACACACGGGACACUACCAGGGAGGCAGGUGAGGGGACCACAGCCUCACCUCUGCUCCCCAUCAGACUCUGAGCCUGAGAUGACCCAGCCAAGCUCUUCUGAGUGUUCAGCACUCUAAUGUUGCCAUUGCUCAAUUUAGUUAUUCACUCCAAGGAAAUGUUCCCUUUUUUUUUUUAGGAAGAUUAGCCCUGAGCUAAGAUCUGCUGCCAAUCCUCCUCUUUUUGCUGAGGAAGACUGGCCCUGAGCUGACAUCCAUACCCAUCUUCCUCUACUUUACAGGUGGGACGCCUGCCACAGGAUGGCUUGCCAAGCAGUUCGUAAGUCUGCACCCGGGAUCCGAACCGGCCAACUCAGGGCUGCCAAAGCAGAGCAUGGGAACUUAACCACUGCACCACUGGGCCGGCCCUGGAAACGCUCCCUUUAAGCAUCUGCUGAUGCUGAGUCUAGUGCAGGGGCCAGGCAAAUGGAGGGCGUAUGGUUCCUAAAAGAGCCUUUCUUCAGCUCAAGUCACUCAGUCCCUGUGGAAUCAAGUUGCUAAGUAGUUUAAAGAAAAGUGUCUCCUUUAGAAGCUUCAGUAGUUUGCUGAAAUAGCCACCUUUUCAAUGCCAGUUCUUGGGUGGAAAUUUGAGUCCCAGGUAUUUGAUGGAAACAGAAAGGAGGUGUCAGUGUGGCUUCAGGGACACCACUGUUAUCUGGAUUUGAUGGGGGGAAAGUUGAUUUAUUGGCGUUUCUAAUGGACACUCCCUUUGACACGCACCCCAGCCUAGCAUCCUCACCAUGAGGGGAGGAGGUAACUAAGGUGAUUAAGGCUCAUGGCUGGAUGCUUUUGUACAGAACUUAGGAAAUCAUCACAUCAACCCUCCAGGGCAGGUGCUAUUGCCAAUGAGGAAAUGGAGGCUCAGAGCAGCCAUCACCUUGCUGGCAAGUGGGGGUGAAAGGAUUCCACCAUGAGUCUGAGGUGGGUCCCUAAUAUUGACGGGGCCGGAGCAAGAGUACACAUAUGUCUAAAGUUAUAGAAAUUACAAAUGAAGCUUACACAAGUCAUGGAGAGGGCAUUCUGUCCUCCCACCUUAAAGACAGAAAGUCAUCCCUCGAUAUCGGGAUUGUUUCCAGGACCCCCUUCAGAUACCAAAAUCCGUGGAUGCUAAAGUCCCUUAUAUAAAACGGUGUGGUAUUUGCGUGUAACCUAGGCACAUCCUCCCAUAUGCUUGAAAUCAUCUCUAGAUUACUUAUAAUACAUAAUACAAUGUAAAUGCUGUGCAAAUAUAUUUGUUUAGGGAAUAAUGACGAGAAAAAAGUUCUACAUGUUCAGUACAGACACAACCAUGGGAGGCCUUUCCAUCCAGGAUUGGUUGAAUCCGCGGGUGCAGAACCUGUGGAUGUGGAGGGCUGACCACACCUUUGUACCUGGAAAGCCAGGGUUCAACGUAGGAUUCCCAGACUCCUUGGGGAUUUGCAUCAGGAGUGGCGGUGAGAGGAGGGCUGGCCACCAGCCUCCAGCCCCAGCAUCAGCUCGUCUCCCUUUCUUCUCGCCUCCAACUUCGUCUCACCUGGGAAGGAUCUCCCAGGCAUGCCUGUGGACACCCCAGUGCUCAGCCCAAUCUUGUCCUCCCUCGCCCUUACAGAGCCGUCCCUGGGCCACCCCUUGGUGCACAUCAGUGUCGCAGUCACCUGUGAGAGGAGGGGGCCCUGGAAGCAGGUUCCAGGAUGUUUGGGCAGGGAGUCCUGAGGUCCUGGGGAAGCAGGGGAGUGGACCCCUAGUGGGGACAUCCCAGCAGCCCUUUGGGAGGGAUGCAGCCCACAAGCAGGGCCCUCUUGGCUGAGUCUGAGGGGAUAAUGGAGUUCUCAGUCCAUGGCCUUGAUACUCUCAUGCCCUCCCAUCUGCUUGCUGUCUGGCCCCCAAGCCCCCCCGUCUUCUCCUGCGCCUUUGAUCACAUUUCCCUUCUCCUCCACUGCCCUCUUCUGUUUCCUCCACAGUCAGUCAUCUGCAGCAAGGACUCCGGGGUCACUGCCCAGGUCUGGACACUGGUGUUGAAAACCCCUCAGGACACAGGAGACAGGGAUCACGUGCUUGAUCCUCCCGCCCCUUUUCUGUGUUGCUGUGACCAAAGAGUCAGGAUCCCAUCCUCUCCUCUCCAAAUGCCAAGAAGCCCCCGGGGAAGGACCACAAGGGGCCAUGUCAGGCUCUGAAACUGGGCUAGUGAUGGCCACCCAUGGUCUUAUUUUCAAGUAAAACUCCAGAUUUUGACAAAGGGUGAGCAGGCUCUGGCUGCACAGCCACAACCAAGGAUGGAGGAGUCGCCACCAGCCAAAGCUCCAGGUUAACUCUCGGGUUAAGCUCCUUUGCCCUCCAGCACCUCCAGCACAGCAUUGUCGAAGCUUUCUCUCUGGCAGGGCUCCGGCAAAGGGGAGCUAAGGUCCUGCUCCUCUGGCAAAUGGGCACCCGGGGCCAACGUCAGCGGUGCCUGGAUGUAGCUGUGACCCCAUUAUACUCUCAGUCCGGUCCAGCUGAGGGAUCCUGGUCACACCUAGAAGAAUCAAAGGUAUACAGGUGGCCUGUAGACUGUUAGACGCUAGCCUGGGUUGAGCGCAGUCUAGGUAAGGAUAUUUUCUUGGGUUCUAAUUCUUUUGAAAAGUGAUAUUUCAUAUAUAGUAUUAAAGAAAUAUAUUUGACCAGCCAGAACAACAUGCUCACAGGCCAGAUGGACAUGAGAGGAACACUUAUCCAGGGGGCCCGGGAGCAUCUGCACUGUGGUGGUGGGCCGCGCACAGUGUGCAGCGCACUGGGAAACAGGGAAAUGCAGGGCCAAGCGCCACCUGGUCGGACUACCAUGGUCAGGGCCUGCCUCUGUCCCUCAUGUGCUCUGUGACAGACCCAUGCCUCACCUGUCUGCACUCGCGCCCCCGAUCUGUGACACAGGCUCAUACAGCAGCUAAUGUCUAGGGUGGUUGUAAGAAUUAGACGAGAUAACCCACACGCAGGCAUGUCGUGAACUUGCUGUUUCUUCAGCCAGGCGGCCGUGCAGUGAUCAUGCAGACAGAAGGUGACCUUUCAGGACUGCCCCUGACACCUGCAGGGCCCAGGCUCAUUUCCAGGGCCUCCAUCAGGUGUCACCCGCUUGCCCAGAUUCUUCUCUCAAAUGAAGCAAAGACCUUAGGCCGAGGAGGGAAUUGAUUUAAGACCCACUAACAGAGGUUUGAAAACUUCUCAAAUAAGAUGAUGAGGGGGAGAGUGCACAAUUUAGCCCAGCGAGUGGAGCACACAGCAGCCUGGCAACAGCCUCCCGGUUCUGUAGGUAAAGAGCCGCCCCGAGGAGCGUGGUCAUGGGCUUUCUCCCUUCACGUGGACAGAAAAGGAACAGAUGAGUGCAGAGUGCCAUGCGGCUGAGGGACAGUGGCUGGAAGGGAACAGGAGGACUUCCCAAGGCUGGAGGUCUUGAAAAACAGGCUCAGUCUCUUUGAUCCAUGAUGAGUCAAGUGUGGAGAGGGAGGAAAGGGGAGAAUCCCUAUUCCUUCUGGAACUCUGAGGGGCCUCCAUGAUGUUCACCUGGGCAGUAGGGAGCACAGCUCCUUGGGAUCCAAUUCAACCCCAACGUUAACUGGACAUCUAUGAUGUGCGAGGCACCAGGCUGGUCUGGGAGAUAGUCGACUGCUGAGCUGCUGACCUACUGUGGGCAGAUGAAGGACUGAAGAGCCAGAGCACUGAGGAGACUGGGCCCAAUUGUCUUGAGCAGCCCACCCCUCCCCAGCCCUGUGUCUGUGUUUGGGUUCAUUUGGACAGUCGUGAUGGUCGGGUGAUGGGCAUGCCCAUCCACACUCCCCCUCAGGGCACUUUUGUGUAGCCUUAGGAACAAAA
ensembl:lncRNA